ensembl:piRNA 21ur-14680 ncRNA
UGUUGACGUACGUGGUAAAAU